rnacentral:rRNA from 1 species
AGCCUGAACGCUGGCGGCGUGGUUAAGACAUGCAAGUCGUACGGUGUAGCAAUACACAGUGGCGAACGGGUGAGUAAUGAAUCGCUAAUGUACCCCGGACUUUGGGAUAGCUGCCCGAAAGGGCAGGUAAUACCAGAUGAUAUAACUUUGUCGCAUGACAGAGUUCUCAAAGGUCCGCCGGUCUGGGAGCAGGCGAUUUCGUAUCAGCUAGUUGGUAGGGUAACGGCCUACCAAGGCGACGACGCGUAGCCGGACUGAGAGGUUGGCCGGCCACAUUGGGACUGAGACACUGCCCAGACUCCUACGGGGGGCUGCAGUAACGAAUCUUCCGCAAUGCACGAAAGUGUGGCGGAGCGACGCCGCGUGUGGGACGAAGCCCUUCGGGGUGUAAACCACUGUCAAGGGAAGAAAGUUCUGAUCUACCCUAGAGGAAGAGGCGGCUAACUCUGCGCCAGCAGCCGC